rnacentral:rRNA from 1 species
CUGACGUUAGCGGCGGACGGGUGAGUAACACGUGGGUAACCUACCUAUAAGACUGGGAUAACUCCGGGAAACCGGGGCUAAUACCGGAUAAUACAUGAAACCGCAUGGUUUCAUGAUGAAAGACGGUUUUGCUGUCACUUAUAGAUGGACCCGCGGCGUAUUAGCUAGUUGGUAAGGUAACGGCUUACCAAGGCAACGAUACGUAGCCGACCUGAGAGGGUGAUCGGCCACACUGGAACUGAGACACGGUCCAGACUCCUACGGGAGGCAGCAGGA